rnacentral:rRNA from 1 species
AACCUGCGGAGGGAUCAUUACACAAAUAUGAAGGCGGGCUGGAACCUCUCGGGGUUACAGCCUUGCUGAAUUAUUCACCCUUGUCUUUUGCGUACUUCUUGUUUCCUUGGUGGGUUCGCCCACCACUAGGACAAACAUAAACCUUUUGUAAUUGCAAUCAGCGUCAGUAACAAAUUAAUAAUUACAACUUUCAACAACGGAUCUCUUGGUUCUGGCAUCGAUGAAGAACGCAGCGAAAUGCGAUAAGUAGUGUGAAUUGCAGAAUUCAGUGAAUCAUCGAAUCUUUGAACGCACAUUGCGCCCUUUGGUAUUCCAAAGGGCAUGCCUGUUCGAGCGUCAUUUGUACCCUCAAGCUUUGCUUGGUGUUGGGCGUCUUGUCUCUAGCUUUGCUGGAGACUCGCCUUAAAGUAAUUGGCAGCCGGCCUACUGGUUUCGGAGCGCAGCACAAGUCGCACUCUCUAUCAGCAAAGGUCUAGCAUCCAUUAAGCCUUUUUUUCAACUUUUGACCUCGGAUCAGGUAGGGAUACCCGCUGAACUUAAGCAUAUCAAUAAGCGGAGGAAAAGAAACCAACAGGGAUUGCCCUAGUAACUGC